CCCUUAGAUGUUCUGGGCCGCACGCGCGCUACACUGUUCGACGCAGCGAGUCUUAACCUUGACCGAAAGGUUUGGGUAAUCUUCAGCAAAGUCGAACGUGAUGGGGAUCGAUCAUUGCAAUUAUUGAUCGUGAACGAGGAAUUCCUAGUAAGUGCAAGUCAUCAGCUUGCGCUGAUUACGUCCCUGCCCUUUGUACACACCGCCCGUCGCUACUACCGAUUGAAUGGUUUAGUGAGAUCUCUGGAUUGACGCUGGCUAGGGGGCGACCCUUGGCCAGACUGCUCGAGAAACUGCUCAAACUUGAGCAUUUAGAGGAAGUAAAAGUCGUAACA
rnacentral:rRNA from 1 species